AUUGAACGCUGGCGGCAUGCCUUACACAUGCAAGUCGAACGGUAACAGGUCUUCGGAUGCUGACGAGUGGCGAACGGGUGAGUAAUACAUCGGAACGUGCCUAGUAGUGGGGGAUAACUACUCGAAAGAGUGGCUAAUACCGCAUGAGAUCUACGGAUGAAAGCAGGGGAUCGUAAGACCUUGUGCUACUAGAGCGGCCGAUGGCAGAUUAGGUAGUUGGUGGGAUAAAAGCUUACCAAGCCGACGAUCUGUAGCUGGUCUGAGAGGACGACCAGCCACACUGGGACUGAGACACGGCCCAGACUCCUACGGGAGGCAGCAGUGGGGAAUUUUGGACAAUGGGCGCAAGCCUGAUCCAGCCAUGCCGCGUGCAGGAUGAAGGCCUUCGGGUUGUAAACUGCUUUUGUACGGAACGAAAAGACUCUGGUUAAUACCUGGGGUCCAUGACGGUACCGUAAGAAUAAGCACCGGCUAACUACGUGCCAGCAGCCGCGGUAAGAC
rnacentral:rRNA from 1 species